rnacentral:misc_RNA from 1 species
CAACCCUUAAGCCUCUGUUGCUUAGUGUUGGGAGCCUACAGCCCUCUGUAGCUCCCCAAAGGUAGUGGCGGAGUCGGUUCACACUUUAGACGUAGUACAUUUUUAUCUCGCCUAUAGAUGAGCCGGCGCCUUGCCGUAAAACCCCUAAUUUUACAA